UACGUAGGGUGCAAGCGUUGUCCGGAAUUAUUGGGCGUAAAGCGCACGUAGGCGGGCGAUUAAGUCAGGGGUGAAAUCCCGGAGCUCAACUCCGGAACUGCCUUUGAUACUGGUCGUCUAGAGAUCGGAAGAGGUGAGUGGAAUUCCCCAGUGUAGAGGUGAAAUUCGUAGAUAUUGGGAAGAACACCAGUGGCGAAGGCGGCUCACUGGUCCGAUACUGACGCUGAGGUGCGAAAGCGUGGGGAGCAAACAGG
rnacentral:rRNA from 1 species